rnacentral:rRNA from 1 species
UACGAAGGGGGCUAGCGUUGUUCGGAAUUACUGGGCGUAAAGCGCACGUAGGCGGAUACUUAAGUCAGGGGUGAAAUCCCGGGGCUCAACCCCGGAACUGCCUUUGAUACUGGGUAUCUCGAGUCCGGAAGAGGUGAGUGGAAUUCCGAGUGUAGAGGUGAAAUUCGUAGAUAUUCGGAGGAACACCAGUGGCGAAGGCGGCUCACUGGCCCGAUACUGACGCUGAGGCACGAAAGCGUGGGGAGCAAACAGG